rnacentral:rRNA from 1 species
UACGUAGGUGGCAAGCGUUGUCCGGAAUUAUUGGGCGUAAAGGGCGCGUAGGUGGCGCGGCAAGCGUGCGGUGAAAGCUCGGGGCUCAACCCCGAGUCGGCCGUGCGAACUGCUGGGCUUGAGCACUGUAGAGGCAGGCGGAAUUCCGGGUGUAGCGGUGGAAUGCGUAGAGAUCCGGAAGAACACCGGUGGCGAAGGCGGCCUGCUGGGCAGUAGCUGACACUGAGGCGCGACAGCGUGGGGAGCAAACAGG